rnacentral:misc_RNA from 1 species
UGCGCCACAACUCAGAUGUCUCAUGAAAGUGCGACGGGGAGGCUGUGUCGGUGGAGAGCUGCUAUUUUGUGCCUUUUUCUGGCCUAAUGCGGCAUUCCCCAGUGGAAAUCACGAAGAGAUUAUUGUCUGCGUUGGACGAGGAGAGCAAUGUCAUUGACAUGGCUGUGGUGCGUGACGUCAUCAGUAUCCUCGAGCAGCUGCCCAUCUCCACAGAGGCGCUCGAGGCCACACGAUUGGGCAAGCACAUCAAUGACCUGCGCCGGCAGUUGGGGGCGCAGGACGCCAGUCUGGCCAAGCGAGCCAAGGCGCUGGUGCGCCGCUGGCGAGCACUGGUCAUCCCGCCGCAGACGGAGCCGGCUCCGGUGAAGCCGGCCCCGGUGCGGCGCGCCAGUCCGUCCGGAGCCAGCCCGCACUCGUAUCCCUCCAGUGCCAACACCAGUCCGUGUCUGUCGCGCUCCACCACGCCCGGCCUGAACAAGCUGAGUCCGGGCCUGGUGCGGCCGGCGCCGGUGAGUCCGGCGCUGAGCGCCCGGCCGCGGCCGCCCACCGCGCCGCCGGCCACACACGAGGUGUCCUUCUCACCGCUACAGGCGCAGCCGCCCGACAAGACUGACGUGGCCAACAAGCGCAAACGGAAAGCGGACACAGCUGGCGGCGGCGAGAUACGGCCCGACAAACGACCACGUUUCAACGGUGUCCAGGACGAGUGCAGUAGAGAUAGUAUCUCAGGCGAAAUCAAUGUCGAAGUGCCUGCCGCGCUGAAGGCGCCGGCGCCGGCCAAAAAGCCGCGCCGCUCGCGCUCGGCGCUCCCCGAAGUGGCCUCUUUCGAUGACCUCAGCGAAAAGGUGUCUGUGGCGCGAACGAAGCGCGUCAAGACGACGCAGGAGCUGCUGUCGGACCUGGCGGAGCGCAGCGGCGACUCGGCGCUGGCGCGACGCGCCUCCCAGCUGCCGGCCUCUCAGCCGCCGCCGCCGCCGCGACGCGACGCCCUGCACGACCUCACGCGCAACAAAUCGGCGCACAUCGAGAAAUUCCUCAACUCACAGGGCACUAAGCGGCGGCGCACUCCCAUAGAGACGAUAGACCUGGAGGAGGACGAAGAGCCGGGCGCCGCGGCGGCCGAGGAGCCGGCGGCGCCGCCCGAGCCGCCGCCGGAGCCGCCCAAGCCGUGGCCGACCGAGGCCGAGAUUCUGGCUCGCCUGCCGCCCCUCGACGAGGACGCAAUCGUGUGGAGUGAUGACGAGCCGGCCGAGACGACGCCGGCGCCGCGGCCGCCGCUCGACCCGGCGCGCCUCGGCGGCGAGCACUUAGAGAACAUUACCGGCAAUACGAACCACCAGGGCGAGUUCAGGGAGUGGCACCAAGUUGUUACGGCAUCCUCGUGCGACGGAGGUGUGCUGCCCAUGUUGCCUUACGUUAUAAUUGAUUAGGCUGCUUGCCGUUUGUGCUUAUAGUCGCUUGCCGGGCCGCGGAUGCCAGCGCCGUGCCGCCGGGGUGCUGGUGGCUCGCUCGCGCCCGCGCACGCGCACCGUUGUCCGGGAUUGAGAGCGUGACCCUGACCAUUGAGAUGAUCCACUCGGACUGACCGACUAGUCGCCCCAACCGUGUUUUUUUCUGAUUGUUCGUUUGGUUCGUUAGUCUCUUGUGUCCGUGUCCCAGUCCUCUCUGCAGCAGGCACCACCUUCCAUUGCAGUCUUUCAGCGGACUACCGAGUAUCUCAUUUAUCACUAAACACGGCCCGGCUGGCUUGUUCCACGCACUGUACAUAGGGUACUGUUGAGUUGCCAAAUAUCCGUUGUUUGUGAUAAUUACACCUUCAAUACAUGAUCAAAUACGCAUUAAUUGGGGGCCCGUUCCAGUUCUGGUUCCGCGGGAGGCGCCGCCCGACCGUUGAUUCCAGGCCCGAGUCGCCGCCGGGCCGCCCUCCCCGGCUGCUCCGGUGUGCCGCUGAUCUGUCUGACUGGGGUGGGGCAUUGUUGACAAGGCCGGACAGGCGCCCAUCCAGUUACGGGACUUGUCUCAAUUUUGUAAACCGAGCAGAGAAAAUGGCCAACUGUUAAGCGCUGAAUACAUGAGCUUUGCGA